rnacentral:rRNA from 1 species
UGGGGAAUUUUCCGCAAUGGGCGCAAGCCUGACGGAGCAAUACCGCGUGAGGGAGGAAGGCUCUUGGGUCGUAAACCUCUUUUCUCAGGGAAGAACACAAUGACGGUACCUGAGGAAUCAGCAUCGGCUAACUCCGUGCCAGCAGCCGCGGUAAUACGGAGGAUGCAAGCGUUAUCCGGAAUGAUUGGGCGUAAAGCGUCCGUAGGUGGUUUUGUAAGUCUGUGGUUAAAGCGUGUAGCUCAACUACAUAACGGCCAUGGAAACUACAUAACUUGAGUGAAGUAGGGGUAGAGGGAAUUCCCAGUGUAGCGGUGAAAUGCGUAGAGAUUGGGAAGAACACCGGUGGCGAAAGCGCUGUACUGGACUUAUACUGACACUGAGGGACGAAAGCUAGGGGAGCGAAAGGGAUUAGAUACCCCUGUAGUC